ACUGGAUAGUGAAUAUUUAAUAUGUGUACAUUUAUAAAUAUAUGAAAGUUACGAACAUUUAUAUUACCUAUUUAAGUUUAACGUCUGUUUAUUAGAAUCAUUCUAUUAGGCAGUGUAGGGGACAUAGGCCCACGUCUAGGUCCGCAUUUAAAAAUAUUUGACGUAGUACUUAGUGUAAAGGGUGUCACAAAACUUAAGUUUGCUUAGGACGUGUGUUUCAACACUUAAGCCGGGCCUGCUGUUAGGAGUAGUUACGGUGAGAACUAUGACAAUAUAUUCAAUUCUUUUUUUAAGAAACAUUUUUUGUUUAAUAUUUAAAUUUCAAGGGUGGUGAGACGAUUUAAGUGUAGUGAUCUUGAACUCAGAUUUUUUUUGUUCUUAUCACUCCAGUUGAACUGGGGUAUUAAGUCCAUUCAUGACAACGCUACAUAAAAAAAAAUGUAUAUUACAAUAUUUUUGAUUUUUCAAAAGACUACACUGUAAAAUCUCGUCUGCUUGCGCUUCAACAUUACAACUAGUGAUGGUAAACAGCUAUUUUUUUUUUUUUUUGUAAAAUCUGAUAAUGCUAUUGCUAUUUGAACGAGAGGAUCGCAACAGCAAUACGAGCUAGUUUUUCGGACCAGUUAUCAUAGCUAAAAUUAUUGAUAGUUUCAUUUUCAUCCUGUGUUUGUUAUCACUAAUGUAUUAUAUCAAAUAGCAUCCAGACUGUGCCGCAACUAGAAGUGGGACAGGGGGUGAUCAGCACUGUCAAGGGUCUUCAGCUUAGAAAAAUUGAGGACUCAAAAUGCAUAGAAUUUAUUGUACUGUAUACAUUUGAGAGAAUAUCAAGACCAGUGGCACACCAUGAUAACUGCUCUGAAAAACAAGCUCACAUUGCUGUCGCGAUCCUCUCGUCUAUUUGAGUGAUUGGCACUUGUCCGUAAAAUGAUUCGGACCUAAGAAAUGAUAAGGUCCGAAAUUUGAAAAAGCCGUUCCAACUGACUAAAUCGAAAAUUACCAAAUCCAAUUAUAUCAUAUUUAUAUUAUGAUAAAAGUUUUAUAACAACA